rnacentral:rRNA from 1 species
CAGGUGGGGUGGUAGAGAAUACCGAGGGGCGCGAGGUAACUCUCUCUAAGGAACUCGGCAAAAUGGCCUCGUAACUUCGGGAGAAGGGGUGCCACCGCAAGGUGGUCGCAGUGAAGAGGCCCAGGCGACUGUUUACCAAAAACACAGGUCUCCGCUAAGUCGCAAGACGAUGUAUGGGGGCUGACGCCUGCCCAGUGCCGGAAGGUUAAGGAAGCUGGUCAGCGCAAGCGAAGCUGGCGACUGAAGCCCCGGUGAACGGCGGCCGUAACUAUAACGGUCCUAAGGUAGCGAAAUUCCUUGUCGGGUAAGUUCCGACCCGCACGAAAGGCGUAACGAUCUGGGCGCUGUCUCGGAGAGAGGCUCGGCGAAAUAGAAUUGUCUGUGAAGAUGCGGACUACGUGCACCCGGACAGAAAGACCCUAUGAAGCUUUACUGUAGCUUGGUAUUGUGCCCGGGCUCUGAAUGCGCAGGAUAGGUGGGAGGCUUUGAUCCAUUGCUUGUGGGUGAUGGUGAGCCAACGGUGAGAUACCACUCUUUCAGAGCUAGGGUUCUAACGGUCACCCGUUAUCCGGGGACCGGACAGUAUCAGGUGGGCAGUUUGACCGGGGCGGUCGCCUCCUAAAAGGUAACGGAGGCGCGCAAAGGUUCCCUCAGGCUGGUUGGAAAUCAGCCGAUGAGUGUAAAGGCAGAAGGGAGCUUGACUGUGAGACCUACAAGUCGAACAGGGACGAAAGUCGGCCUUAGUGAUCCGACGGUUCUGAGUGGAAGGGCCGUCGCUCAACGGAUAAAAGUUACUCUAAGGAUAACAGGCUGAUCUCCCCCAAGAGUUCACAUCGACGGGGAGGUUUGGCACCUCGAUGUCGGCUCAUCGCAACCUGGGGCUGAAGUCGGUCCCAAGGGUUGGGCUGUUCGCCCAUUAAAGCGGUACGCGAGCUGGGUUCAGAACGUCGUGAGACAGUUCGGUCCAUAUCCGGUGCAUGCGCAGGAAUAUUGAGAGGAUUUCUCCCUAGUACGAGAGGACCGGGAGGAACGCACCUCUGGUGUACCAGUUAUCGUGCCAACGGUAAACGCUGGGUAGCCAUGUGCGGAGUGGAUAACCGCUGAAAGCAUCUAAGUGGGAAGCCCACCUCAAGAUGAGUAUUCCCAUGGCGUUAGCCAGUAAGGUCACGGGCAGAACACCCGUUGAUAGGCUCUACGUGGAAGCCGGGUAACCGGUGAAGCGGAGGAGUACUAAUAGACCGAGGGCUUGACC